CGGGGUGCACUGGCUUCGACGGGGGCAGCGAAAUCGCACGGCGCAUGCCGAGGGGGUAGCUUUCCUCGUUAAUCCAGCUGCAAAAACCCAGACGCCAACGACGACGUCUACGCUCUCGCCGCUUAAGGCGUAAGCCCCGAACCCACUUGUGCCCGUGCUCGUGGAUGUAGGGUCAUUAUCACGGAACCGGCCCUGGCGGCGACCCGCCAACCAGUGGCUUAACUCUAGCGGGUGUGUCCUGCGGCGUGCUUCGCACACCGUGUUGUCGCAGGGCGAGACCAAACGGUGAGCUAAGCAUGUAGUGCCGGGCAUGGAGUUCCUUCGGACGGCGGUUCGAUUCCGCCCACCUCCACCA
rnacentral:tmRNA from 1 species